UUGAUUUAGUUCGUAACGACGGUGUGAUAAUGCACAACCGUUCAUGGUGUAGCUUAGUUUGUUUAUCUGACUAAUUUAUUGCUGAUUGUCCGGUUGUUUUCGAUUUGUUAGAUUGUUCAUGAACGUUAAUCUGUGAUAGUGCUCAAAGCAUAUUUGAGAAGAAAGUAUUCCCGCCACGACUGUUUUACACAAUUUGUGGCCAUUCAUGACUAUGUAUUUGUAAUACGUAACCCGAAAAAUUACCAUUGAUAAUGGUCUAUAAUAUGAGACCGAAAUAUUUGGUUUGAAUAAAAAAUAUUGAGCAAUCCGAGGAGUUUUCCAAUCCCAC